AGAAGCCCAGCACCGAAGCGCCCGUCCCAACGGGGCGGGAGGGCAAUGUGGUGUUUAGGAAUAGCGCGACCGAAGGUUGAUCUAAGCGCAAGUCCUCCUGACUGAGGCUCUCGCCCAUUGAGGGUGCAAGGCCCGUCGUCGCUUAUGAUCUCCGGCGGAAGCAAAAUUCCUUGGAGUCGGGUUGCUUGAGAGUGCAGCCCUAAGUGGGUGGUAAACUCCAUCUAAGGCUAAAUACGACCACGAAACCGAUAGCGAACAAGUACCGUGAGGGAAAGUUGAAAAGAACUUUGAAGAGAGAGUUCAAGAGUGCGUGAAACCGUUUAGAGGUAAACGGGUGGGCCCUCGAAGGUGAUCGUCGGAGGGAUUCAGUCGGACGUGACCGUAAGCGUCGUUCGUCUCUAACGGUGCGGACCUCGGUCGGCCGGGCGGGCGAAGGCUGCGGGCCGUUUGGCGCAUUUCCUUCCGUUCGAACUACGCUGCGACCAGUCUGGUCACUGAAAGUUGUCGUCCUUGAAAACGGGCGAUGGAAGGUGGCCGGCGGCGUCUCUCGGGAUGCCGUCGGUGUUUAUAGCCGGUUCGUUUCACGAGUGAGCGUUCAUCAGACUGGGGACGAUUCUAGCCCUGUGCGGGCUACGCCGAGCACUCCGUUUACGGAGCGUUGCGGGGUGACUGGAUGUGCCUGCGGUCGGGAGUUUCACCUUUGCGUGGGCUACCGCACGGACCAAGGAGUCUAACAUGUGCGCGAGUCAUUGGGUCUUGAAUAGGCCCAAAGGCGUAAUGAAAGUGAAGGGCGGUUCGGCCGUCUGCCUUGGGAUCCGGUGAACCUCGCGUUCGCCGGCGCACCAAGGGCCCGUCCCGGUCGCCUCGUCGACGGGGCGGAGCAAGAGCGUACACGUUGGGACCCGAAAGAUGGUGAACUAUGCCUGGGCAGGACGAAGCCAGAGGAAACUCUGGUGGAGGUCCGCAGCGAUUCUGACGUGCAAAUCGGGGGCCCGAUGCGAGACGCUCAUGAGAUCCCAUGAAAGGUGUUGGUUGCUAUAGACAGCAGGACGGUGGCCAUGGAAGUCGGAAUCCGCUAAGGAAAAUGGAUGGCGCUUCAGCGUCGACCCCAUACCCGGCCGCCGCGGCCGAAAAGCCUCGUGUUUUAAGCCGCGGUGAGUAGGAGGGGCGCGGAGGCGAGCGUCGAAGGUGCCGGGCGUAAGCCCGCCUGGAGCCGCCUCCGGCGCAGAUCUUGGUGGUAGUAGCAAAUACUCAAGUGAGAACCUUGAGGACUGAGGUGGAGAAGGGUUCCAUGUGAACAGCAGUUGAACAUGGGUCAGUCGGUCCUAAGGGAUAGGAGAAAUCCGUUCCGAGGCGGGACCUCUCAAUAAUACGAAAGUCCCGCUGAUGACCGAAAGGGAAUCGGGUUAAUAUUCCCGAACCCGGACGCGGAGAUCGUCCUCUUCGGAGGUACAUUGCGGUAACGCAAACGAGCUCGGAGACGUCGACGGGAGCACCGGGAAGAGUUAUCUUUUCUUUGUAAGGAUUCGACUCCCUGGAAUCGGCUCGCCCGGAGAUAGGGAUGGUGUUUCCGUAAAGCACCGCGCCUCUUGCGGUGUCCGGAUCGCUCCCGUCGGCCCUUUUAAUUCCGAGUGAGAGAUAGUGAUUUUCGUGCCGGACC
rnacentral:rRNA from 1 species